GUUAAAAUCCUUGUGCGCUUUUUCGUCAAAUAACAAAGAGAAAAACUAUCAGUUAUUUUCUUCAUUCCCGACCCCUUCUCUCCUCUCUCUUCUCUAUCUUCUCUCGAUUCCAAUCUCAGAUCUCUCCAUCUGAUGGAGGUGCACUGGUGCAGACUCUGGCAGCUCUCUCACCUUGGCAUCCUAGUUAGCCCUAGAUGUGGAUCUGGCCCUCUCCUUUUCCCUCUCUCUCUCUCUCUCUCUCUCUCUCUCUCUCUCUCUCAAACCCAGGCCCAAAACACAGCGAACAGCCAAAUCGGAAACCCACAUCGCCCUUCUUACUUCUCCUGUCUCCCAGCUUCAAUUUCUCUCCGACUCAUCCUCAACAUAUGCCUAGUAACCCUAAUCCCAAAACUCGCCGUAUUCACUCUAGAAAAUUGAGAAUUCAUUUCAAUGCAGAAGGAGAUAAAUGGGAAAGUUGCUCUCCCAAAAUGGAUUGGGAAGUGAAAAGUGAAAUCAGAAAGAAUGAGAGUAAGAACAUAGGGAAGCUUGACACCAUGUAGAUUUAUGGUGACCCACUUUCAUCCGCUUCCAGCUAUGGUCUCCAUGGAACUGGUGGAAGAGGUUUGAAGGUGCUUUAAAGGUUAAGAUAGAGUUUGACGACCUGAAGAAUAAGGCACUUCAUACCUGCAGUUGCUUCAAUUCCCUUGUUAGUCAAAUUGAGUGGUCUUGUCACUGACAGCUUGUUCUUCAGUAAGCUAAGCGCUAAACUUAAUGACUGACAAUGCAUGUUUUCUUUUUCAUUUUUUUUCUCCAAGUAAUAAACUACAAAAUUUUAGGAGCUCAUUGCAUUGAAUUGUUCUUGCAGUUUCAGUUUCUUAGGUUUUUGUUUGUGUUUUAGUGCUUAAGAGUCUUUUUCCCCCCUCAAAUUUGGGCAGUAGAUUGGGAAGCAUUUUUACGAUAUCGGCCUAUGUUGGCCACUUUCAUCCACUUCCACCUGUGAUCUCCAUGGAACUGCUUGAUGACAUAAAGAAAAUGCAGUAGUAUGCGGUCCUUUCUUAGUCAAAUUGAGAGCUCCCUGCUAUAAUUUCUCUAGGCUUAACUUGAGUAAUCCCUCCCCUUGUCUCUUACUCAAGAUCAAAUAAUGCAUUUGUUUCAGGCAAACAUUCCUACUGCUUACCUAAAUGCCAAUAUGGAGUAGAGUGAACAACAGGAGAAAACUCUGAAUAUGUCACCCCUGAAAAAGUUGCCAAAUUUUAAACUAUAUAAUUAUGGAUGGGAACUUGGUUUGCCCUGCAAAGAUGGGAAGAUCUGUAGCUGUAGGUAAUCCAGAGCUCUUGUUUUUCUUAAUAGGUCUAUGCUUGUCUUAUACUUGUUUUUGUGGAUUGUGGAUUCAUGCUAUGUUAGUUAUAUGUAUAUGGCCUAUACGAUGCGUUUAUGAAAGUUGCAUUUUGGGAAUUUAUUACUUAUGUGACUUAUCUUUGUUCAGUGGAAAUAACUAUUUGAAUGCUUAGUGGCAACACAUAGGAGCUUAUAGGUGCCAUGCAAAACUCAUUAUUACAAUUUAGCCUUUUUACAAGAUAUAUAUGAAGAAACUUCUGCUUUUGCUUGCAGACAUUUAUAAUCUAAGUGAGAAAUCGUCUUUGGAGUUGAGACCAUUCAUUAAGGCUGUUUGAAAGUUGCAAUGUUUUCACUAGUUCAAGAGUCGAGACGAAUUCAUGGACAUCCACAAUGAAUACGCUGUGGGUUGAACUUGUAUAGUUAGAUUAUUGUUAGUAGUUAUUUAUUGAAUCGUUAGUUAUUGCUUAAUAACUUUGUGCUCAUUGUAUUGUAUUUUAGUUAUAAUAGAUACAUUGGUCACUAGUCUCGUACUAAAUUAUGUAUAUUUUAAUUUUUUU